ACCUUGUUGAAUCUGGC
rnacentral:rRNA from 1 species